UGCAGUCGAACGAUGAAGCCCUGCUUGCAGGGUGGAUUAGUGGCGAACGGGUGAGUAACACGUGAGUAACCUGCCCCCGACUCUGGGAUAAGCCCGGGAAACUGGGUCUAAUACCGGAUAUGACUUCCUACUGCAUGGUGGGUUGUUGAAAGAUUUAUCGGUGGGGGAUGGACUCGCGGCCUAUCAGCUUGUUGGUGAGGUAAUGGCUCACCAAGGCGACGACGGGUAGCCGGCCUGAGAGGGUGACCGGCCACACUGGGACUGAGACACGGCCCAGACUCCUACGGGAGGCAGCAGUGGGGAAUAUUGCACAAUGGGCGGAAGCCUGAUGCAUCGACGCCGCGUGAGGGAUGACGGCCUUCGGGUUGUAAACCUCUUUCAGUAGGGAAGAAGCGAAAGUGACGGUACCUGCAGAAGAAGCGCCGGCUAACUACGUGCCAGCAGCCGCGGUAAUACGUAGGGCGCAAGCGUUAUCCGGAUUUAUUGGGCGUAAAGAGCUCGUAGGCGGUUUGUCGCGUCUGCCGUGAAAGUCCGAGGCUCAACCUCGGAUCUGCGGUGGGUACGGGCAGACUAGAGUGAUGUAGGGGAGACUGGAAUUCCUGGUGUAGCGGUGAAAUGCGCAGAUAUCAAGAGGAACACCGAUGGCGAAGGCAGGUCUCUGGGCAUUUACUGACGCUGAGGAGCGAAAGCAUGGGGAGCGAACAGGAUUAGAUACCCUGGUAGUCCAUGCCGUAAACGUUGGGCACUAGGUGUG
rnacentral:rRNA from 1 species